UUCUGGUUUAAAAAAUACAUCACAUUUUUAACCCCUGAGAUUAAUGUUGUAUAAUCCUUGUAAAAAAUGGUUUUUACUAUAUUUACAUAGGCACUAGCUACACUGAGAAUUACCUUAAAUAUUUGCUAUUGAGGAUAAUUUUCAGUCAUAUUUGUGUUUGUAGGCUGAACCGUGUUUAUAUAGGAGAUCUUCAUCUAUCUGUGUUUUGAACUUCAUAGUGCAUUGUUCUGCAGUUAAAUGAUUAGGUAAAUAGUAUGGAAUUUCCCUGAUGCAUUUGGAUGAAAGUUUCUAUUUUCCUUAAAACUUCAUUACAGUACAUAAUUUUUGCAACAAACAUUGUGAUUCAGCUACAGGAAAGCAAGGAGAUCCUUUAUUCACAGGAGUCUGUUCUUGUGGUCUUGAAAGCAGCUUUGCUGAUGAGAUUCAGCUUACUGAAUUCCACUUAAAGGGAGCUGUGCACCCGCCAUCAAGAUGGAGGAAUUUGCAAGGACAGCCUUCACACUGUACGCUGGAGGCACUGGUGUUUGUUCAUCCUCCAGGGUCCAUGCAUUUUAGAGAUGUCUGUUUUGUUGAGAGGGAGGCCUAGUUGAACUGAGCUCAGUGUAACCCAUAAUCAUACUGGUGCUCGAGUUACCUCAUUUAAACUUAGCUCAGGUACCACUCUGCUGCUGUACUGCAGUUGUAACAACUACCCUGAGGAAUAUCACUAAUGCAAUCAUAAUUCUUAUAGGCCAGGUAAACUAAGGAAAGGUUUGGAUUUUUUCUUGACUGUUUGGGGUUUGGUUUAACUGGCAAGGAAGGAGAAGAGCUGUAAUGAAAAUCACGUAGUCUGCUGCCUAGUGAGCUUUCAGGGAAAUGUUUUAAUAAGCACUUAGAGACAAGAAGAAAUGCUUGCUAACGCAGCCAGUCAUGUGUGGAUCAAGGAAUGAGUGACAGGUCAAUUAACCUGCUCAUUUGAAGAAUUGAUGUUCCUUAAUCCUCAGAUCCAAACCUACUGAGUCACAAUAUGCUCAUGUACCUACAAAAGAUCAAUCAACCUUGCACAUUAAAUCUUGAUACAAGCAGUGUCGUAGAUUAUUACCAUAGGUGUUUCUUAAAGUGUGUUUAGGUUGUGAGAAGAUUUCAGGAAUAGAAGUGCACCAUCUCUGCUAAGCAUUUAUUGCAUCAUUAUUUAUGAUAAAAGUCAGUAGGGCUUUAAUAGCAUUUCCGAGUUUUGUUUUAUGUCAUUUAUUACUCUCACUCUGAUUCAACUCAGCAUAAAAGCAGAAGUAGUAUCCUUCAUUAUUUUUCUCUGUACUUCACCAGUGGACAAAAGAGACAAAAUACACCUUUCCAGGAGUUAGAAUAGCUACAGGGUUAAUAUUUUAUUCUUUUUUUGUUUUUUGAAGAGUUGUGUUUUGUUUUCUUUUGUGGUGUUUUUUUUUGGUUUUUUUUUUUUUUUUUUUGGUUGGUUGGGUUUUUUUUGUGGGUUUUUUUUGGCUUUUUGAGCAAAACAGUUGUCCUCCUGAGUGGUCUAUCUAGCCCAAUAGUCUCUUUCCCAAAGUGGCACUGGGAAGUGUCAAUGAGCUUAGUCACUGUGUAUUCUCCUCAGACUCCACUUGAGUCAUUGAAUCAGGGAUGUUGGAGGAUCCUUGCCUAUUUUUUGUCCCCUUUUGGACCUCUUGAGCAUGAGUAUGUCUCAUCCCUUGUUUGUGUUGGUACUUCCCACCUCUGUGACAUCGUGUGUCAAUAAGUUCCAGAACUUAGGUGAGAAGAGGGGAAAAAAAAGUAGUUGUGGAUUUUUUGGGCUUUUUUAAGGGAUGUCUUGUUGCUUUCACCCCCAUCUUUUUAGGAAUUGCAGAAUUUGACAAAGAAACAGUUCUGCCUUGAACAUUUGUUGCACUCAUUCAUCACUUAAGUGAAAUGUGUAAUCAUGAAGGUGAAGAAUCCCUUCAAAGUGCCAGUUUUAAUUGUUUCAAGAGAUUUGGACUGUCACAGGCUUUAGAACGGCUGUGGUUUGUUGACCAGUCUUGAUUUACUGGAGUUUGUUGUUGAACUUUUCUUCUUUGAAGGAGAAAAUUCAGUGGUUUUUGAAUUUUUUGGAAAA